ensembl:lncRNA
CCAUCCAUCUAUAACUUUUCAUCACUUUUUCCUAAAGUAAGGAAUACGUCCCAGAAAAUGCACUUCUGUGACUUAGCAACUUGCCAGAGUGAUCUGAUCCUUCCCAGUGUUCCAAAGGAAGCAAUGAUUUGAAUUCAGCUGCUCGAACAAUUAGUCUCCAGGCAGGCAGCUUGAAAAUUCUUUAAAGUAAUGCUAUGGGUGUCUGGUUGCAUGUAGUCUUUUGAGCCUGACACUCUGCUAAAUUAAUCUUAAUGUUAAAGUAAAAUGGGAACAAGACCAAUUUCUGUUCAGCGAAACUCUGUACUUUCUGACAUUGAAUUGUACUGCAGAUUCAUAGUAAAAAAAAUUUAUGAAUAACUCACACUUCCACUCCAUCAGUGUGUAUGUCAUACAUACACAUAUGUAUAUGACUUAUAUACACACAUAACAUAUACAUAUAUAACUUACAUAUGUAACAUAUAUAGCAUGUACAUAUAUACAUAUAUAUAUAUACACACACAAAAAAUACAUUAUUCACAACAGCACUCUUUGUAAUAGUCAAAAAUUGGAAACAACUCAAAUGUCCACUGACUGUAGAAUGGAUAAAUAAAUCGUGACACACAAUGGAACAAUACAUAGCAAUGAGAAUGCAUGAACUUCUGCUACAAAAACAGAGGAAUUUCAUAAUCAAAACACAGAGCAAAAGAAGUCAGACACAAUAUAAACAUACUAUAAAUCCAUUUAUAUGAAGUUUAUAAGCAGUCAAAAUUAAGCUAUGGAGAUGUCUUCUGACAGAAAUCUGAAAGGUGAGUGUCUUUGGAGAGGGAUACGAAGUGACUAAAGGUGGGACAAGGGAGUUCUUGUGGUUUGGUGAGGGUUACACAAGUUAUCUUUGCUUUGUAAAAGCUCAUUGAGCUGUACAAUAAUGAUUUGUAAACUUUCAUGUAGUAUGCUAUUCCUCAGUCAAAAUUGACUUGAAAACCUGCAUAGUCAUUAUUAUCAGUUUUGGUUUAGUGUUAUUUCACUUUUCAUCAGAACGAAAGAGACCAAAAUUGUGUGAAUGCUUUUAGGCUGCAAAUAUGAGGAGAUAAUUCAAAAUGGUUUCAACAGGGGUUGGCAAACUUUUCCUCUAAAGGGAAAUACAGUAACGAUUGUAGGUUUUGGGGGGCCGUGUGGCUUCUUGUUGAGACUACUCAACUCUGCUGCAGAGCAAAAGUAUCCACAGACAACACGUGAACAAAAGAGCCUGGCUGUGAGCUAAAAACUCAUAUAAAUGUGGGGCUGUCUCAGAAUUCUGCCUACUGCCAGCUCUAACCUAAAAAAAUAAAUCGGAUAAUAUCACAAUAGAAAAAUCAGCCGUUGGGAAGAAAUGAGCACUCUGGAGUUCCCGACAUGGCUCAGCAGAAAUGAAUCUGUGUGGCAUCCAUGAGGAUGCAGGUUUGAUCCCUGGCCUCGCUCAGUGGGUUAAGGAGCUGGCCUUGCUGUGAUCUGUAGUGCUGUGGCUCUGUCAGAGGCCAGCAAAUACAGCUCCGACUCUGCCCCUAGCCUGGGAACCUCCAUAUGCCGCAGGCGUGGCCCUGAAAAGACAAAAAACAAAAAACAAACAAAUAAAUAAAUAAAUAAAAUAAGACCCAACUCCAUAAAAACAAUGAUAGCAUGAAAGUCCUGAACGAUCUUUAGCUAUUUGCUGUAGCAGGACCGUCAAAAUACCAAAUAAAAUACUGAACUGUUUACAUAAAAACCAUCACAAUGGCAAAAGCUUUUAACUUUUAUUUAUUUAUUUCUGGAUUUAGUAAUAUAUUCACAAGGUUCGCAUUACCAAAGAUAAAGGGAAGUACAGUGAAAAAUCUCUUUCCUACUUGUCUCUUUUCUUGGAAUAACUGAUGAGUGUGAUUCCUCAUUUACUUUUUACUUUGCAGUGGAUUUUGUGCUAAAUUAUGUGUUAAAUAAUUUAAUAUCCAGAUUAUAUAACACAUGCUUGAACACAUACGCAGGAAAAUCCCUGCGAGUGGGGAAAUUGCUGCAUAAAAAUAUAUGUCCAUUUAUAAUUUUGAUAUACAUUGCCACAUUGCCCAUAAUGGUGGUGUACGAAUUUAAAGUUUCAGUACUAAAAUUGGAGUACUUGUUUGACCAUGUUCUUGCCAAGAGUGACUAUUAUUCCAUCUUUCUCAAUUUGAUAGAUAAAAGUGAUAUCUGAUUAUGAGUGACCUGGAACUUUUUUCCAUUUAUUUCUUUUUCUGAAAACUGUGUUUUUUAAUGGAAACAUUGAUCUUUUUCUUAUUAAUUUGUAAGAAUCCUUUACCUGUUGUAAGAAUUGCUCUUGUUGAAGUUUGUGGUUUGUCUUUCAACGUUGCCCGUGUUUGCUGUUGUUUUGCCAUACAGAAAUAUUUGAAUAUAUGUAUAAAUCAGUUUUUUAUGGAUUCUUGCUUUAAUUCUAUAUUUCAAAGAGCCUACCAUACUGCAAGAUUAUGUAAAAAAAAUUUUCAAACAACUUAUUCUGGCAUGUUCAGGAUUUUCAUUUUCUUUCUGUAUUUCUAGAAAUAUUACCCCACCUGGAAUUUAUCAUGGUGAAAGUUGUGAGGUUUGGAUUCAACUUUAAUUCCCCACCCCAGAGGAUUACUCAGUUGUUCAAAUGCCAUUUAUUGGAUAAGCCAUCUCUCUUCACAGAUAAGAGAUGCUAUUUUAUCUCAUACUAAAUGUCUUUUUGUAUCUGGGUCCAUUUCUGUUCUUUUGAGCUGCCUGUCUGUUCAGGUGCCCUGCCUUUUUAAUUAUCAUAGCUUUGUGUUUUACUAUUAACACAGGCAGGCAACCCUUGCUUUCCUUUUUCAGGUUUUCCUGCAUACAUUUGCUUGUUUAUUUUUCCAUAUUAAUACUAUAAUCAACUUGUAUAAUUUUUAAAAAGCCUUUAUUUUAAAAACUGAGGUAAUUUGGGGGAAUGACAUUUUUAUAAAGCCUUUUUAUCUAAAAUUAUGGAUGUCCUUCCAUUUGUUCAAGUCUUCUUUUUGAAUCGCUGUACCUUUAAAAGUCUUCAUAUAAAUAGCUCUUCACUUCUUACAUUUAUCCCUAGGAAUUUAAUCAUUUUGUUGCUAAUACAAGUGAGGUCCUUUCUUCCAUUAUAUUUUCUUUUUUUAUUAUUAAAGUAUAGUUGAUUU